rnacentral:rRNA from 1 species
GACGAACGCUGGCGGCGUGCCUAAUACAUGCAAGUAGAACGCUGCAGGCGGAGCUUGCUUCUCUGGAUGAGUUGCGACCGGGUGAGUAACGCGUAGGUAACCUGUCUGGUAGCGGGGGAUAACUAUUUGACACGAUAGCUAAUCCCGCAUAAGAGUAGAUGUUGCAUGACAUUUGCUUAAAAGGUGCAAUUGUAUCACUACUAGAUGGCUCUGCGUUGUAUUAGCUAGUUAGUGGGGUAACGGCUCACCAAGCCGACGAUACGUAGCCGACCUGAGAGGGUAAGAGGCAACGCUGGGACGAAGGCACGGCCCAGAACCCUAGGAGUGGCAGCAGGAGGGAAUCUUCGGCGAUGGAAGGAGGGGUGAACAAGCAACGCCGCGUGAGUGAAGAAGGUUUUCGGGUCGUAAAGCUGUGGUGGGAGAGAGGAACGUGAGUGAGAGUGGAAAGGGCACACAGUGACGGUAUCGUACCAGAAAGAGACGGCUAACUACGUG